rnacentral:rRNA from 1 species
AACGUAGGUCCCGAGCGUUAUCCGGAUUUACUGGGCGUAAAGGGCGUUCAGGCGGUGGGCUAAGUCAGGCAUGAAAUCUCACGGCUCAACCGAGAGAGGCUGUCUGAGACUGGCACACUUGAGGGCAGUCGAGGGUGGUGGAAUUCCGGGUGUAGUGGUGAAAUGCGUAGAGAUCCGGAGGAACCCCAGUGGCAAAAGCGGCCCCCUGGGCUGUACUGACGCUGACACGCGAAAGCUAGGGGAGCGAACGGG